GUGAGAUCAGCUGCCUUAGAAGGAGUCUGUGGCUUUAGCAAUUCCUGUGUUUCUGGCUCUGGAAGGGAUAUUCCAGGACAGGAAGGCAGAAUUACAGGGACAUUUGGAGAGCCAGAGUGGAGCCUGCCCAGGAUAACCAAGACUGAACGGGAAUAACUAGUGAAGAUGAAUGCGUUUAGAUGCUGCCUGCACACCAUCUUUCCAUCCUGGGCGUCAGUGAGACCCCAAUCUCAAAGGUUGAGGGGAAGGCUGGCAAAUGGCAGAAAAGCUGUUAGUUCUUUCUUAGGAAGCCAGGUGGCUGCAGGGGUGUAUGCAGUUGUCAUUUGGUUGUCAUCCUGCUUCAAAAUCCAGGGACCCACAGGCAGGAGCUACUUUCCCACAGCAGGGAAUGAAAACUUGAUCUGGCUAAAGAUCCAAAUGACUUCGUAGAGAAGAAAAAUUCUCCAGUCUGCUAUCUUUCAACAAAUUCUACCCAAGUUUGUUUUUCUGCAGUAUGAUUAUGACUUCCAAAUAUUUACAUGAGAUGCAAUCUCUUUGAACUGUAGUCCCACUAUUCUAAUUAAAC